UUAGUACCAACUUCCAAAAUUACAAUGGCAGGCCGAAAUGAACGAACUUUAUCUAAAUCGAACGCGAUCAACUUGUCUACUGUGCGUCCCUCAAUUCCAUGCAAUUUGACGGAAGCCCUUUUUAUAUCAAAUCUAAUGGCCGCACGGACAUCGAAAUUAGAGCGCAAAUCGCGAUGGAGACGUUUGACAAACGACAUGGGCGUGACAAUUCCAUAAUACCCAAAUUAAAAGUAUCAAAAUAUA